rnacentral:rRNA from 1 species
AUCUUCGGAUGUGUAUAAAGUGGCGAACGGCUGAGUAACACGUGGGCAACCUGCCCUUUGCACUGGGAUAGCCUCGGGAAACCGAGGUUAAUACCGGAUACUCCAUAUUUGUCGCAUGGCGAAUAUGGGAAAGCUCCGGCGGCAAAGGAUGGGCCCGCGGCCUGUUAGCUAGUUGGUGGGGUAGUGGCCUACCAAGGCAAUGAUGGGUAGCCGGGUUGAGAGACCGACCGGCCAGAUUGGGACUGAGACACGGCCCAGACUCCUACGGGAGGCAGCAGUGGGGAAUCUUGCACAAUGGGCGAAAGCCUGAUGCAGCGACGCCGCGUGCGGGAUGAAGGCCUUCGGGUUGUAAACCGCUUUCAGCAGGGACGAGGCCGCAAGGUGACGGUACCUGCAGAAGAAGCCCCGGCUAACUACGUGCCAGCAGCCGCGGUAAUACGUAGGGGGCAAGCGUUAUCCGGAUUCAUUGGGCGUAAAGCGCGCGUAGGCGGUCUGUUAGGUCAGGAGUUAAAUCUGGGGGCUCAACCCCUAUCCGCUCCUGAUACCGGCAGGCUUGAGUCUGGUAGGGGAAGAUGGAAUUCCAAGUGUAGCGGUGAAAUGCGCAGAUAUUUGGAAGAACACCGGUGGCGAAGGCGGUCUUCUGGGCCAUGACUGACGCUGAGGCGCGAAAGCUAGGGGAGCGAACAGGAUUAGAUACCCUGGUAGUCCUAGCUGUAAACGAUGGACACUAGGUGUGGGGAGAAUAUACUUUCCGUGCCGCAGCUAACGCAUUAAGUGUCCCGCCUGGGGAGUACGGUCGCAAGACUAAAACUC